rnacentral:rRNA from 1 species
CUACGCGAAGGACACAAUUUUGCUUAUGUGAGAACAAGUCAAAUUGGAGGCCAGCAGCAGGAGAGCCACAGCUCUCCCACAUGGUUUCUCGCAAGCGACGACAGCAUCACACAAGUAUCACUAGAAGAGGUACUCGAGUGUCAGGCCUACAUUCUUUUCUAUGAAAGGGUUGAACAACCAAAGGGCGUGUCAGUUCUACGAGAACAUCCGCCAAGAAAGAUGAACGGAUGA